CAACAAGUACCGUGAGGGAAAGUUGCAAAGAACUUUGAAGAGAGAGUUCAAGAGUGCGUGAAACCGUUCGGAGGUAAACGGGUGGGAGCGCGAAGGUCGAACGGAUGGGGAGGGAUUCAACUCGGCGAGAUGGCGUCGCUUGGCCGGGGGUCGUGGGGGCGGUGUUCCCUUUUAGGGGCAUCCCCUAUCCCACGGCAUCGGCCCGAGCGAGUCGGCUUGUCUCCGCCUUGUGCAUUUCCCAAUUUCCCCUCUCCUAGUAGGACGCCGUGACCGGCUGUUGAGGGGAGCCCAGUAGCUGGCGAGGGUAGCUGCGCGGACGAGUGUGGGAUUCGUUCCCUGCGUCCGGUCUGUCUGCCUCUCGCCGUGCAGCGGGUGCUCUCCCCGGCCGAGGAGCUGUGCGAGUGGGACCCUCGUGGUCCCCUCGUCCAAGCGCGUGCCCUCGAUUUGUCGGUGCGGGUCGAAAGAUCCCAACGGGUGGCGGUGGAUGGUGGCUGGCCGGCUUUAUGCCUCUCCAGCCGCCUUUCCGCGUCAGCCGCCGUCGGUCAGGGUGCGGACUCCCGCAUUUUGGGGCGCUGGGGGUCGACGGCGAGUAGGUCGGUUUCCCACCCGACCCGUCUUGAAACACGGACCAAGAAGUCUAACGUGUGGGCGAGUCUUCGGGGACUUUGUGAACCCUAUGAAGGCGCAAUUAAAGUAAAGGUCCUGCCUUGCGUGCUUCGGCAUGCGCGGCAGGGCUGCAGUGGGAUCCCUCGUGUAACGGCGAGGGCGCACCCCUGGCCCGUCCUAUGACCGCUUCGUCGGUCGGGCGGAGCAAGAGCCCACGCGUUGGGACCCGAAAGAUGGUGAACUAUGCCUGGGCAGGACGAGGCCAGAGGAAACUCUGGUGGAAGUCCGCAGCGGUUCUGACGUGCAAUCGAUCGUCGGACCUGGGUAUAGGGCGAAAGACUAA
rnacentral:rRNA from 1 species